CGCGACUCCGGAAUUGACGCGUCACACGUGUAUGUCAUGGUCUUGCUGUGGAAAUACUUAUUUCUCCUUGCAGCAUUGAACUUUUUCAAAGCUUCCUGAUUUGUUACAAAGUUGUGGCGGUAUAUUUUUACUGUCUCAGAAUGUUUUGAAUGUGUUGGUAAACGGCGUGUUUGGUGUGGAGUAGAAUGCAUUUUAAAUAGCUGCAUUAAACAGUAACGUUAAUGUGACUAACAUUAGGUUGAGCCAGAGCUGCUAUAACUUCCUCAAGUUGAUCUUCUGCAGUUGUUGUAUGAUCGUUUGAAGUAAUUAGACAAUUAAUUUAUGACACACAUCUGCAUUUGUCGUCUUGUCUCGGAUCAAAUCAUGGUUGUAAAGAAGAAAGCAAUCAAGCAAGUGGAGGCUGUCGCAUUGAAUGAUGUCAAGCUGGAGAUCCUGACAGUGCACAAGGUAGUGGUCCAGAUUGGCUGCAGGAGCAGACUGUUGGAUGUCUCUCUGAGAGCCUGUCUGUCCUCUAUGAGCACUGAUCACUAAUCGCACUUAACAGAAAGCAUUACUUCCUGUCUGGAUAGCUUUAAGAUAGAGACCUCUGCUGGCCUCCGGAGAGUCCUGCAGGAGAUUCAACCUCGCUACACAAAUGACUUUUUCCACUAGAGCCAGAGAGCUGGACCUCAGUGGAAGCAAGCCGUGACAGUGAGCAGAAAGAGCCAGAGAAUGCAGUUUAUAAACCACAAUCCUCUAAUAGCGGUGAAAGCACAGUUGCCCACUAGUAUUUUAGAUACAGAAUAGAUAGUUCCACCACCUUAUUGUCCUUUACCGUAGUAUCUGUCUCAAGAUUUCACACAUUCAGGCACUUCAUCAAUACUUUAGCAUGAUGUCUUUAGUAAUUGCACUCAUAUUCUAAACCUUACACUUUUAGUGGACCCAGAAUUGAUCUGAAAGGAUUGCUGUAAUACAUGUUCUGUCCACGAGAGGGCGACAUUUGAUCAGUGUUUUCUGAGUUGCUUUGGAAGAGUGUGUUUAUGUUGUCUAGGUGGCCGUGAUGGACAGGCCAAUCGAGUCACCGCUCAGAAGUUGCUGGAGGGCCAUGAACGAUGUGUUCAUGUUGCUGGGGCAUCUGUGUCUUUCACACACGCUGACGACAGAGGACCAGGUCUGAGCAUCCUGAGCUCUUUGUAUCGAGACACACGUCUGUGGGAGGACAUGAGUGCUGCUGUCCUGGGUUUCACUUCUCCUGUGUGGGCCGUGAGUGUAUCCUCUUUCUUAUUUAUAAACCGUGCUUGUGUAAGUUCCUUGGAUAACAGAAUCGUAUGGGUGUGGUGGUUGACUGAAAACAUAUGUAUCUCAAAGUACUGUCAUCUACCAGCUGACAUAACAUACCACUUCCUGUCAUUCUUCACUAAAUCUGCUCAUUAACAACGCCAAAUAUAAAGUACUGUGACAUAUUUGGACAAUUAAAUUGGCACUUUUCAAAUGCACAAAUGCUUUUUUUUAUUAGAUGUUGACAAUUCAUUUUAAUGUAACCUAUAAAAGACACUAUCAAGGUUGUCAGUAAGAUUUUUUAAAAGAUGCAUUCAAUUUCAAUGGAUCUAACUUUUAAAUUAUUAAAAAAAUAUUUCAAUUAAAUUCAGUUCUCACACUGUGGGGAAAUGGUAGGAAUUAUGCAACAUUAAAGGUUUAAAUCUGAUUUCGGUGGAUGUGAUUUAUUAAAUGCAGCAGUAUGUUUGCUGUAUGCAUGCAGUAUACAUCAAAGCACACUGUGCUGAAUACAGUAUCACUAAAUUAAAUGCACUUGACUAUACUUACCAUAUUCAGUGUGAUGAAUGAAUACAUAUGUAUUAUUAGCUUACGAUCUUUUGACUCAUUGUUCAAUCAGUCCGCCAAAAAAAAUAAAAAAAAUAAUAUAUAUAUAUAUAUAUAUAUAUAUAUAUAUAUAUUGAUUUGAUUUGAUCAUAUAUAUAUAUAUAUAUAUAUAUAUAUAUAUCAUAAUCUAUAUGUGUGUGUGUGUGUGUGUGUGUGUUUUCAGAUACCACUUGAUUUGAUCAUUUGUAUCUAAUGUCAUGAGAUUUAAACAUUUGUGUGUUUGCCUUGAAGCAUCCAAAUGUACUUAAAUGUACAUGCAUUGCUCAGACUAAACACAUUUCACUUUUUAUUUUGUAAAAGAGGGACUUAAAGUAUAUAAUUCUCUCUCCAGUCUUUCUCGCGCUCAUUUGCUCACCUCGCGUACACCACCCUGUCAGGCCAUGAACAAA
rnacentral:lncRNA from 1 species